rnacentral:rRNA from 1 species
AUGUCAAAAUUGAGAGGGCAAGGGUAUGAUGGAGCUUCUAACAUGAGAGGGCAAUUUCGUGGGUUGCAAAAGUUAAUACAAGAUGAAAAUCCUUAUGCAUUUUAUAUCCAUUGCUUUGCCCAUCAGUUGCAGUUAGUGGUUGUUGCUGUGGCCAAGUGUUGUUCUUCUGUAACGGAUUUCUUUAACCACAUAACUUUGAUUGUCAACACCGUCAAUGCUUCUUGUAAGAGACAUGAUGAACUAGCCCAACAAUAA